GGCCUAAAUUGUGAGAUAGAAAACAAGAAAACAUAUAAUUGUAUACAUUUAUUCUCUUAACAGUUACAGAAAAAAAUAGCUUUAAAUACCCCUAAAGUUGAUCAACGCACCCGUGCGUCAAUCUAAUUAACAUAAAAACAAAUAUAGAAGUAGUUUUGUGACACCCCAAAAAAUGGGUUAAAUGUGUAAAUCCUGAACUUUAUUACAUCUCCUAGAUGUAGGACAGACAAUUCAAAAACAUAUUCCUUAUUAUUUAUUUUUGUACUCUGUUUUGCCAUUUAUGAGUGUGUUAUUCAAUGCAUUUCUAUAGGUUGUAGCAUUAAAAGGCCAAAUUCAAUAUUUUACCCCAAUGAAAAAUUAAAUAGCUAAAGGAUCCAUGGUAUGAUCUUUAAAAAAAAAUCCAUGUUAGCUCAGUAGAACCCCCCCAUAUACCCCAUUGCAGGUUGUCAUGAUUCGGAAAUUGCUGUCACAAUAAAUAUUCUACUUCCAGAUCCAGUUUAUCAAAUUAUAGGUGCAGAAAUUAACAGACAAGAUACCCAAGAUUAUAACAUCUGCAUUCAAACAGGCACACACAUGUAAAGCAGUGCACUCAAAUUAGAACAAACCUUUAUACUUCAGUGAAACGUUAAUCAAAUAUGAUUCAUGACUGUGCAGUUAGCUAUAUAGACUACCAGAUGAUCUGUGUAGUUCCCAAAAAAAGUAAUGAUUGUGAGGUCCCCCUGUGUAUGAUUAUAAUCAUAUAUUGUAAUUUAGUGUUUGGCAUAUAUUUGCAUCCGUGUACAGUUCCUGCAAAGUUUAAAGCCUACAUUGUAAGUUGCAUGUGUCUAGCCUAAAUAAAAACAUCUUGGCAGGAAUAUCCACCAUUUCACCAACUCCUCCAUUACAUUUGGAGUAUAUUCCAUUACUAUCUCUCUAUUCCAAGCUAAGCUUUAUGCAUCUCUUCUCCAAGACGUCCUAUGAAUGUAUCUGAAACCAUUGUAUGCACUCCACAAGUUAUUUUCAGACUAGUAAAUUGCGUAUAGAGGGAAAAAAAUAUGCUAAACGUAAUAUUUGCAUUAGAUCCUUACACAUUAAUAUGUUAAAGCAGGGAUGUCAAACUCAUUCCAUGAAGGGCUUAGUGUCUGCGAGUGUUUCGUUUUUAAGACCUUAGACAACCAGGUGAGGGGAGUUCUUUACUAAUUAGUGACCUUAAUUAAUCAAUCAAGGGAGGAACAAAAACCAGCAGACACUCAGCCCUCCGUGGAAUGAGUUUGACAUGUAUGUUAAAAGAAGGGUACAUACUGUAUAGAAAAUUGAUUUUGCUCUCAGUAUAUGUUACAAAACCACUUUUCUCUACCUAUCAAGCCUUUAAAACCAGAAAAUAUAUUUACCUCCUCCACAAAGAACAAUUCUCUGAAAUUGUCCACAAAGAUUAGACUAGAACAGACUAGUCCACAGUCCACCUCUCUCCCUCAAACCACUUGCUCUUACCACAUCAAUAGUGUGAUCAGAAACAUAAUGUAUCUAACAAAUCAAAAGUUCAUUUCCAGAUAUGGCAUGUGAUGUUUGAAAGGGUGUUUCUGUUUUAUUUGGUCUUCUCUGGUUCUGUUUGUACUCCUGCAUCUGACUGGCGUUUGCCC
ensembl:lncRNA